rnacentral:rRNA from 1 species
AUUGAACGCUGGCGGCAUGCCUUACACAUGCAAGUCGAACGGCAGCACGGGUGCUUGCACCUGGUGGCGAGUGGCGAACGGGUGAGUAAUACAUCGGAACGUACCUUAUCGUGGGGGAUAACGCAGCGAAAGCUGUGCUAAUACCGCAUACGCCCUGAGGGGGAAAGCGGGGGAUCGAAAGACCUCGCGCGAUUAGAGCGGCCGAUGCCUGAUUAGCUUGUUGGUGGGGUAAAAGCCCACCAAGGCGACGAUCAGUAGCUGGUCUGAGAGGACGAUCAGCCACACGGGGACUGAGACACGGCUCAGACUCCUGCGGGAGGCAGCAGUGGGGAAUUUUGGACAAUGGGGGCAACCCUGAUCCAGCAAUGCCGCGUGAGUGAAGAAGGCCUUCGGGUUGUAAAGCUCUUUUGUCAGGGAAGAAACGCCGGCUCUAACACAGUCCGGGAAUGACGGUACCUGAAGAAUAAGCACCGGCUAACUACGUGCCAGCCGCCGCCGUAA